AAAAAAGACCAAUAAAGCUUUGGGAGUGCAUGGAUAAUGUGGAGGAUAUGGAUGGUUUUGAGAUUAACAUUGAAAUUGCAUUGGUUUGCCCAAUGCCUAUGGAGGAGGAUCCAAGCACCGUUGUGUUGGAUGAUGAUGAGUGAUGUGCUACUCUUUGCUUGGAGUUAGUUAGUAGUUAGUAUUAUUAUUUUGUAGGAGUUCUAGAAUGAUGCAUAGUGCAUAGACUUACUGGAUAAAGGACUUACAAGAAUUAGCAUUCUUUUGCCUAUAUGCUAAUUAUAUCUGUACAUGUUAUUGGUAGUGGACUUUUCACUAAUGAUAGUUAUUUAGGUAUUCAUGGGUGAGAUUAUUAUUGGGAAUACAAGCAAUUAGCAUUCUUUUGCCUAAAUGCUAAUUUAAUUUGUAUAUCUUUCUUUUGGCAUUUGUGGACAAUGACAAAUGGUUCUGCAAUACGUUAUUAAGUAGAUACAUUAACGCUUAUUGUUAUUGACACUGACAC